rnacentral:rRNA from 2 species
GCGCGAAACCUCCGCAAUGUACGAAAGUGCGACGGGGGGAUCCCAAGUGUUAUGCUUAAAGGUAUGACUUUUCAUUAGUGUAAAAAGCUUUUAGAAUAAGAGCUGGGCAAGACCGGUGCCAGCCGCCGCGGUAACACCGGCAGCUCGAGUGGUAGCUGUUUUUAUUGGGCCUAAAGCGUUCGUAGCCGGUUUAAUAAGUCUUUGGUGAAAGCUUGUAGCUUAACUAUAAGAAUUGCUGGAGAUACUAUUAGACUUGAAGUCGGGAGAGGUUAGAGGUACUACCGGGGUAGGGGUGAAAUCCUAUAAUCCUGGGAGGACCACCUGUGGCGAAGGCGUCUAACUGGAACGAUCUUGACGGUGAGUAACGAAAGCCAGGGGCGCGAACCGG